UACGUAGGGUGCAAGCGUUGUCCGGAAUUAUUGGGCGUAAAGAGCUCGUAGGCGGUCUGUCGCGUCUGCUGUGAAAACUCAGGGCUUAACCCUGAGCUUGCAGUGGGUACGGGCAGACUAGAGUGCGGUAGGGGAGACUGGAAUUCCUGGUGUAGCGGUGAAAUGCGCAGAUAUCAGGAGGAACACCGGUGGCGAAGGCGGGGUCUCUGGGCCGUAACUGACGCUGGAGGAGCGAAAGCAUUGGGGAGCGAACAGG
rnacentral:rRNA from 1 species